rnacentral:rRNA from 1 species
UACGUAGGGGGCAAGCGUUAUCCGGAUUUACUGGGUGUAAAGGGAGCGUAGACGGUAAUGUAAGUCUGAUGUGAAAGCCCGGGGCCCAACCCCGGAACUGCUCUGGAAACUGUGCGGCUAGAGUACUGGAGGGGCAGGCGGAAUUCCUAGUGUAGCGGUGAAAUGCGUAGAUAUCACGCAGAACCCCGAUUGCGAAGGCAGCAUACCGGCGCCCAACUGACGCUGAAGCACGAAAGCGUGGGUAUCGAACAGG